CGGCCCAGCCACAACCAACACCACAAAAUGGGCCGCAACCCACGGCCCAGCCAAACCAACCCUCCACCGAAGCCCAACCAAUUUUACCCACUUCUCCACCAGGCCAAAUUCAAACUCCUAUCAAUCCAAGCCCAACAACUACACUUGCACCUAAUACUCAGCUCACACUAUCUCUUCCGACUACUCAAACCCAAACUCAAAAUAAUGAAGUCCCGCACCAACCCUCGUCUUCUCCACCACCAAAUCAUCAUCGGAUGCAGACUCGUUCCAAGAAUAAUAUUAUCAAACCAAUAAAGAAGCUUACUCUCACUGCUUCUCU
rnacentral:lncRNA from 1 species